rnacentral:rRNA from 1 species
UUUGGAAUAUUGGUCAAUGGGGGAAACCCUGAACCAGCGACGCCGCGUGGAGGAUGAAGGAUCUAGGUCUGUAAACUCCUUUUUCAGGGAAAGACUUAGGACGGUACCCUGAGAAUAAGCUCCGGCUAACUACGUGCCAGCAGCCGCGGUAAGACGUAGGGAGCAAGCGUUGUCCGGAUUUACUGGGCGUAAAGCGCGCGUAGGCGGUCCGUUAAGUGUGAAGUGAAAUCUCCAGCGCUCAACGCGGAAACUGCUUUACAUACUGGCGGACUUGAGGGAUGAAGAGGCUUGUGGAAUUCCUGGUGUACCGGUGAAAUGGGUAGAUAUCAGGAGGAACACCCGAGGCGAAGGCGGCAAGCUGGUCAUCUCCUGACGCUGAGGUGCGAAAGCGUGGGUAGCAAACAGG